GGGAGGCGGCGGAAUCGCAUUUCUCCCGCUAAAGCGUUCGCGGAGACUUCAAGGUAUAAUCUAUCCCAGAUCCUUUCCCAGAGAGAAACUUGGCGAUCACGUUUCCACAUGAUGCUCACGUUUGGUGCUCUUCAAUUAUCCCUCCCCACAAAGAUAGGUGGCGUGUGUUUCAGGGUCUCUCCUCUCGCUCCUACAGAAAAGAAAAAGAAAAAAAUGUCAUUAGAAGAGGCGUAACACGUCAGUCCGUCCCCAGGAGCUGCAUCUCCCUUCACCUUUUCUCCUCCACUUCGCGGCUUCUUCAUGCUUUUUCUUCUCACCAUUUCUGGCCAAAACUACAAACAAGACUUCGCAGAGCCUGCGUGCUGCUGAAGCAGGGAGCCGAGCCCAUGCGAACUGCCAUCUGAUCCACUCUUAUCAAUGAAGCAGCAGAUCAUGGCGGAUGGCCCCAGGUGUAAG
rnacentral:lncRNA from 1 species